rnacentral:rRNA from 1 species
CACCUCUUCCCAUUCCGAACAGAGAAGUUAAGCCCACUUGCGCCGAUGGUACUGCACAGCAAUGCGGGAGAGUAGGCAGCCGCCUUCU